rnacentral:rRNA from 1 species
UACCAGCUCUCCGAGUGGUAGGGAUGAUUAUUGGGCUUAAAGCGUCCGUAGCCGGCUUAGCAAGUCUCCUGUUAAAUUCAGCGACCUAAUCGUUGAGCCGCGGGAGAUACUACUAGGCUAGGAGGCGGGAGAGGUCGACGGUACUUCUGGGGUAGGGGUGAAAUCCUAUAAUCCCGGGAGGACCACCAGUGGCGAAGGCUGUCGACUAGAACGCGCUCGACGGUGAGGGACGAAAGCUGGGGAGCGAACCGGAUUAGAUACCCGGGUAGUCCCAGCUGUAAACGAUGCGAGCUAGGUGUUGGGGUGGCUACGUGCCACUUCAAUGCCGCAGGGAAGCCAUUAAGCUCGCCGCCUGGGGAAUACGGCCGCAAGGCUGAAACUUAAAGGAAUUGGCGGGGAGCACCACAAGGCGUGAAGCUUGCGGUUC